rnacentral:rRNA from 1 species
GAUGAACGCUGGCGGCGUGCCUAAUACAUGCAAGUCGAGCGAACAGACGAGGAGCUUGCUCCUCUGACGUUAGCGGCGGACGGGUGAGUAACACGUGGAUAACCUACCUAUAAGACUGGGAUAACUUCGGGAAACCGGAGCUAAUACCGGAUAAUAUAUUGAACCGCAUGGUUCAAUAGUGAAAGACAGUUUUGCUGUCACUUAUAGAUGGAUCCGCGCCGCAUUAGCUAGUUGGUAAGGUAACGGCUUACCAAGGCAACGAUGCGUAGCCGACCUGAGAGGGUGAUCGGCCACACUGGAACUGAGACACGGUCCAGACUCCUACGGGAGGCAGCAGUAGGGAAUCUUCCGCAAUGGGCGAAAGCCUGACGGAGCAACGCCGCGUGAGUGAUGAAGGUCUUCGGAUCGUAAAACUCUGUUAUUAGGGAAGAACAAAUGUGUAAGUAACUAUGCACGUCUUGACGGUACCUAAUCAGAAAGCCACGGCUAACUACGU